rnacentral:rRNA from 1 species
GACGAACGCUGGCGGCGUGCUUAACACAUGCAAGUCGAACGGUGACGGAGAGCUUGCUCUCCUGAUCAGUGGCGAACGGGUGAGUAACACGUGGGCAACCUGCCCAGACUUCGGGAUAACGUUUCGAAAGAGGUGCUAAUACCGAAUACGAACGCCGUGGGCAUCCACGGUGUUGGAAAGUUUUUCGGUCUGGGAUGGGCCCGCGGCCUAUCAGCUUGUUGGUGAGGUAAUGGCUCACCAAGGCGACGACGGGUAGCCGGCCUGAGAGGGCGACCGGCCACACUGGGACUGAGACACGGCCCAGACUCCUACGGGAGGCAGCAGUGGGGAAUAUUGCGCAAUGGGCGAAAGCCUGACGCAGCAACGCCGCGUGGGGGAUGAAGGCC